GCCCCGCCUCACCCACUCCUCCACGCUCCGAAGGGGCAGGAAACGGGAGUAGCAUGUCUGUCCUGGGCUCGGCUCCCCCGGGGGAGCUCCGGGCGCUUGACAAGGGCGUCCACAGGUACCAGGCGCGGGAGUGGUCUCCGCGACGGCCCGGGGGCGGCGGCGGCCGGCGCGCCCACUGCGGGCCCGAGGCGCCCGGGGAGGUGGCCCCGCAAGCCCCCGCUCCUCGGCCACGCUCAGGUUUCCGCAGCGCCGGUGCCCCCGGCGCCCCGGGUGGGACGUGACCCCGCCCCCGGCGAGUCGGGGCGCCCCACACGGAGGGGUGCGCGGAUCGCCCCCAGUCCCUGGGCCGACCCCGCCGCCCCGGGCCGCGGCGGGCGCGGGAGGCCCGGCUGGGAAGAUGUCUCCUCUCGGUGCGCGCAGCUUCGCGCGAGGGUCAGCGACGGGGCAGCGGCCGCCCGAGCCGCGCCUGCCCUGCCCACGAACGGGCUCCCGCGGCUCGACAGCUGCCCGACGGGCUAGCAGGCUGGGGACGUCGACGGAGCUCGGCCAGAGGAAGACCGAUGGAGAAAGACAAUUGAAAUAAAGAUCGCUUCUGUUUCUAUCACAACUCUGGAUUUGAACUCGAGGGUAAAGGCACUACGUACCCCCGAGCAUCCUUGGGAGUCAAGCUAAUGCGCCUGGUAGUAUUGUACUCAUUUUAAAGAUAGACAACCGAAGUACAGAAAGGUUAAACAGCUUGCCUAAUUACUGGAACAGAGAGGAGUCCCGCGGUCUUCGAGAGCCGACCGCAACAUCUCCCAACAACAAAACCAGGUUCGUUAGUGCACUUGUGGUGAUGAGCCCCGUGCGAUAUGUGGAACCCCACAAUCCCUGUGCUCUACUCCUGAAACUAAUCUACACCGUAUGUUAACUAGAAUUAAAAUUAAAAAAUUUGAGGAAAAAAUGAUUUGUUGA